rnacentral:rRNA from 1 species
ACGAACGCUGGCGGCGUGCUUAACACAUGCAAGUCGAACGGAAAGGCCCUGCUUUUGUGGGGUGCUCGAGUGGCGAACGGGUGAGUAACACGUGAGUAACCUGCCCUUGACUUUGGGAUAACUUCAGGAAACUGGGGCUAAUACCGGAUAGGAGCUCCUGCUGCAUGGUGGGGGUUGGAAAGUUUCGGCGGUUGGGGAUGGACUCGCGGCUUAUCAGCUUGUUGGUGGGGUAGUGGCUUACCAAGGCUUUGACGGGUAGCCGGCCUGAGAGGGUGACCGGCCACAUUGGGACUGAGAUACGGCCCAGACUCCUACGGGAGGCAGCAGUGGGGAAUAUUGCACAAUGGGCGGAAGCCUGAUGCAGCAACGCCGCGUGCGGGAUGACGGCCUUCGGGUGGUAAACCGCUUUCGCCUGUGACGAAGCGUGAGUGACGGUAAUGGGGAAAGAAGCACCGGCUAACUACGU